GCUGGAGGUAGAACCAUGUUUUCCUGUAUAAGUCUGAGGAGCCAGUUUAUUUGCUACAUUUUGCGGAACACUGUCUGACCACAAGAAAGGAUGCUCUCAGAGAAACUUGGAUUUCAGCCCAAUGUCUCUGGGAGUAUGCACAGGAGAAGAAGAAACUGAAUCUAAGGAAAAAUUGUAACUGUGCUAAACACCAAAACACUGGAUCAAGAAUAUACUUGUGGUAUUAAUGACAACUACAGGUUACCUCUACACAGAAGAUGUACUGAAAAGAAAUAAAGAAGAUAUGUACAGA